rnacentral:lncRNA from 1 species
AGCCAGCCACCCCAGGAGUGCAGGCUGAGUCCUCUGGUGCCCUCUCUUAAACAACUGGAAGAAGCAGGUAAGUCCCUCAAUGCAUUCUUGUGACCCAAGAGACUAAGACGUCUUAGCCUGUGAUCAGCCCACCGGACUGAUGCGCUCAGAUCGGACUAGGAAGCAGGGUUUGUCCGCAGCGGCAAAUGCAACGGGGCAGUUUCCACGGCUCACGUUGGUGUUUUCAGCCUGGCGCUGGCCUCUCAGUGACAGCAGCACAGCCAGACCUGCGGAGGAUUUCGGGGGGCUCCCUGACCGCGCCGCAGCCUACUCCGGGGGCCCAGCUUCUGCUGCCGAAACGCUCCCCGCGGAGGGCUUGGCCUCAUUCCGCCGAGUCUCCGCGGGACUCCCAGUGAGAAAAGAAAUGCUCCUCAGUGCCUCUUCCCUCUUGUGAAACGCUUCCUUCUGCUCAGGGGACACGUGUGACCUGUGCACGUGGGGGGCUUUUGUGCACUUGUGCCCACGGCACUGCGAUGGGUCCUUAGUGUGAUUGUCUCUGCAGGGCCAGAGUCAGGCCGCUGCUGCUCUUCAGUGAGAUCAGUGCUGCCCGGCAGGGGCCGCUAGCAAUGUUCUGACAAGUCCUGCAGACUCUGCCAAGACAGCAGGAGCCCAGGCCUCACGGAUCUCCAGGUGGAAAUCUGAAGCUGUGGGUAGAGGGGGUCCUGCUGUGGUGGGGGGGGAGCCACCUGCUCCUGGGGCACCCACAGCCCAGCCCCCCCAAAGGAAGAGGCUCUGAGAAGGCCCUUCUGCCUCCUGCCUUCCUUCCUCCUUCCACCUGGCUGCCCCCAUGCCUGGCCGUAGGCGCAGGGCCAGGGGCUGGCACACCACACCCACCAAUAGGCUUGGCAUGCAAUGCAGAUUCCUUACCUAAAACAAACCAACACUCACACCUUUAUAUCCAAUCCGACUACCUUUUUCCAUAUUGUCUUGUUGGCAAUUGUGUCUUUUUUUUUUUUUGGUCUAUUAAAACCAUCAUUUUUUCCUCACCCUCUAAGCUAAAUCAUUAUUUCAGUUCCUAACCUUUGCAAAUACUCUGCUUCCUGUACAAUAGGGAUCAUUGUGUGUCCUCAGCAGCAGCCUGGCAGAAACACGGAACCACACGCCUGUGUCAGCUUAGUGACUCAGCAAACGGAGAGGCUCUGCUUCCACCGGGGCCCCUCCAGCCGGCCCAUGGGUUGGGUGGUGCUUCCUGGCCCUGCGGCUGUACCCUGACCCUGUUGGGUGCCAUGGCCGCUGGUAGGGGUGGGCGGCCCGCUCUGACCUCAGACCCCAUCCAGAAGCGCCUGCUGCCAUGCAGCAUGGGAAGCCCCCCGCCCCUCGCCCUGUACUUGGUUAGAGAAAGAUCUGGAAGAUACGCAACUGGAAAACAAGGUGUCGCUGGUGGUGAGGAGUUGCUGGCAGGCGAGUACCAUGCCCAAGGCGGGGAGGAAGAGCGUCUAGACUGAAAGUAAACGCACUACCUAAAAGGCGAGAAUGAGUCGUAGCUGAUGGACAAAACUGAGGCCAAGCCCAGGACACAGCCUCUCAGGGGCCCUUAGGGAGGCUCCAAAGAGGUCAGAGAGGAGCCGGAUCCACAGGAGUUUUUGCAACAAAAACCAUGUAGUCGGAACAUCAAAAGAUUAGUUAGAGAAAACCAGGCAUUUCAAGUGAAGGAGUGCAGCGCUUUUUUGUGUGGGGGGAGCUGUGGGUCUGGCUCCCGAAGUCAUUCCUGGACGUGACCCCUCGCCCCCCAGGGCCAGGGUCCUGUGCCUUCCCUGCCUGAGUCCCUGGGAGUGCUGUGGGGACACUGUGGUGGCUUGAUGGCUGCAGCAUCCUUUGUUGACUCACAUGACAGGCGACACUCCUCACUCACAGUGUCGUAAUGACUGGACCUGACAGGCAGUGUGAGCAGGGCUUCCUCCGCCAGCCCCAGAGACUGGUGCGGGAAAGCACGUGGCUGCUGCGGGACCUGCGACGGGAGCCAUCAGAACCCAGUGACUGAGGGCUGUGCCCACGCCUGCAGAGCAUCCUGUGGGCCGGGACCCAGGCACACACUAUAAUGAGAAGAGGAAACUGAUGCUCAGAAAGGCUGAGUCAUUUACCCGGGGCCACACAG